rnacentral:rRNA from 1 species
GAUGAACGCUAGCGGCAGGCCUAACACAUGCAAGUCGAGGGGGAGGUUACUUUCGGGUAACUGAGACCGGCGUACGGGUGCGUAACGCGUAUACAAUCUGCCUUUCACUGGGGGAUAGCCCGAAGAAAUUUGGAUUAAUACCCCAUAGUAUAGUAAUACGGCAUCGUGAUGCUAUUAAAGCUUAGGUGGUGAAAGAUGAGUAUGCGUUCUAUUAGCUAGUUGGAGAGGUAACGGCUCCCCAAGGCGAUGAUAGAUAGGGGUUCUGAGAGGGAUGUCCCCCACACUGGUACUGAGAUACGGACCAGACUCCUACGGGAGGCAGCAGUGAGGAAUAGUGGACAAUGGUCGGAAGACUGAUCCAGCCAUGCCGCGUGCAGGAUGAAGGUCUUAUGGAUUGUAAACUGCUUUUGUAAGGGAAGAAUAAGGGCUACGCGUAGUUUGAUGACGGUACCUUACGAAUAAGCAUCGGCUAACUCCGUG